GAUGAACGCUGGCGGCGUGCCUAAUACAUGCAACUCGAGCGAACAGACGAGGAGCUUGCUCCUCUGACGUUAGCGGCGGACGGGUGAGUAACACGUGGAUAACCUACCUAUAAGACUGGGAUAACUUCGGGAAACCGGAGCUAAUACCGGAUAACAUGUUGAACCGCAUGGUUCAACAGUGAAAGACGGUCUUGCUGUCACUUAUAGAUGGAUCCGCGCCGCAUUAGCUAGUUGGUAAGGUAACGGCUUACCAAGGCAACGAUGCGUAGCCGACCUGAGAGGGUGAUCGGCCACACUGGAACUGAGACACGAUACAGACUCCUACGGGAGGCAGCAGUAGGGAAUAAUCCGAGAUGGGAGAAAGCCUGAAGGAGCAGCGCCACGUGAGUGCAGAAGAUCUUCGGAUCGUACAACUCUGUUAUUAGGGAAGAACAAAUGUGUAAGUAACUAAGCACGUCUUGACGGUACCUAAUCAGAAAGCCACGGCUAACUACGUG
rnacentral:rRNA from 1 species